rnacentral:rRNA from 1 species
UCGGGAAUUUUGGGCAAUGGGGGAAACCCUGACCCAGCAACGCCGCGUGAAGGAUGAAGUAUUUCGGUAUGUAAACUUCGAAAGAAUAGGAAGAAUAAAUGACAGUACUAUUUAUAAGGUCCGGCUAACUACGUGCCAGCAGCCGCGGUAAUACGUAGGGACCAAGCGUUGUUCGGAUUUACUGGGCGUAAAGGGCGCGUAGGCGGCAUGACAAGUCACUUGUGAAAUCUCUGGGCUUAACCCAGAACGGCCAAGUGAUACUGUCGCGCUAGAGUGCAGAAGGGGCAAUCGGAAUUCUUGGUGUAGCGGUGAAAUGCGUAGAUAUCGGGAGGAACACCUGUGGCGAAGGCGGCCACCUGGUUGGAUACUGACGCUGAGACGCGAAAGCGUGGGGAGCAAACAGGAUUAGAUACCCCCGGUCCUGAGCGGGCUGGCAAGGCGCAU